UACGUAGGGAGCAAGCGUUAUCCGGAUUUAUUGGGUGUAAAGGGUGCGUAGACGGGAAAUUAAGUUAGUUGUGAAAUCCCUCGGCUUAACUGAGGAACUGCAACUAAAACUGAUUUUCUUGAGUGCUGGAGAGGAAAGUGGAAUUCCUAGUGUAGCGGUGAAAUGCGUAGAUAUUAGGAGGAACACCAGUGGCGAAGGCGACUUUCUGGACAGUAACUGACGUUGAGGCACGAAAGUGUGGGGAGCAAACAGG
rnacentral:rRNA from 1 species